rnacentral:rRNA from 1 species
GAUGAACGCUAGCUACAGGCUUAACACAUGCAAGUCGAGGGACCGGCGCACGGGUGAGUAACACGUAUCCAACCUCCCCUUUACUCGGGGAUAGCCUUUCGAAAGAAAGAUUAAUACCCGAUAUAAAGGAUGGGGAUGCGUGCCAUUAGGUUGUUGGUGAGGUAACGGCUCACCAAGCCUUCGAUGGAUAGGGGUUCUGAGAGGAAGGUCCACCAAGUUGGAACUGAGACACGGUCCAAACUCCGAGGGGAGGCAGCAGGGAGGAAUAGUGGUAAAUGGGCGCUAGCCGGAACCAGCCAAGUAGCGUGAAGGAUGAAGGCGUAUGGGUAGUAAACUUCUUUUAUAUAAAAAGAUGUAUUAUAUGAAUAAGGAUCGGCUAACUUCGUGCCAGCAGCCGCGGUAAUUC